UUGUGCCAUGUAUCAAAACCGUCUAUAUAUAAAAAUUAAUUUUAUUAAUUGGAUAUGUUGAAGAUUUGGUGAUGCAUUGGAUUUCAUUUUGUGUUUUGUUGACCUACUUUUAAUUUUUAGGCUCAGCAGAACUAUGGCUGUCAAAACACAAUUGUAUUAAAAUGAAUAGUGCUUCAAAUUAUACAAGAAGUCACUUUCUUUUUGUUUUAGAUGUUUUUCAGUUUCGUCGGAAGACAUUUCCCACCAACCAUCCUGUCUUGAAAGAAAUAACUUUUGAACCCGAUUAUCUGAUAUUUUCCAGUUUCCCCUCACAACAAUUUGCAUCAAACCUCUUGUCUGUUUGGCAGACAAAACAUGCUGAUCAAAAAGAAUGUGUACCACAGGGGCCAGUGUUUCCAUUUGAGUGAUUGACAAGAAGAAGAAGAGAUGAGAAAUGUUAUCAUCAUAUUUUAGUCCCUACAUUUAUAGUGUACAGCUCAAUGUAUUGAACCGGUGUUGUAGAAUAUAAUUGGAGAUACAUGCGAACAUUAUAACAUUAUAUAUAAGAUGAUAUUUCAAAAGCAAUAAGAAAUAAAAAGUAUAAAAAGGUCAAAACAGUAAACCUUGUGUUUACAGUGGACAGGUUUAAAGUGGAAGUGACUAGUUAAUUGUUGAUCAUAAGCUGCACUGAUGGAAAAAAUAGUGGGAAAUUACUAUCUAGAAAACUGUUUAACGUACGACAACAGUUGUGGAACUUCAUAAAUGACCGUAUGUAACAGGGCUGGGCAGUUUUCCUUAUAUAGCUAUAGUGAAACCUUUUGAACACUAGUGAAGUCACUGUUUUUUUUCCAAUCUUCAUGCAUUUUGGUCGAAUAUUUGUUCAAAUGAUGGCUCAGUCCAGUUUCGAAAUUUUUAUGUCUAUUCAAAAAACAUAUCCACUAGAGCACGAGGCAAUUGUCUUUAUAUGGCUAUAAUGAAACCUUGUAAAUUCUCUAGAAGUGACAUUUUUAGCCAUAUCUCCAUAAAUUUUGGUCAGAAUAUUUAUUCUAAUGAUAGCUCAGUUGUCGAGUUUGUAACUGGUUCCGGUUUGUAGACUAACAUGGCUGCCAGUGGACAUGACAGUUUUUC